UGGGGAAUUUUGGACAAUGGGGGCAACCCUGAUCCAGCCAUCCCGCGUGUGCGAUGAAGGCCUUCGGGUUGUAAAGCACUUUUGGCAGGGAAGAAACAGCCUGGGCUAAUAUCCCGGGCGACUGACGGUACCUGCAGAAUAAGCACCGGCUAACUACGUGCCAGCAGCCGCGGUAAUACGUAGGGUGCAAGCGUUAAUCGGAAUUACUGGGCGUAAAGAGUGCGUAGGCGGUUUUCUAAGUUCGGUGUGAAAUCUCCCGGCUUAACUGGGAGGGUGCGCCGAAGACUGGGAAGCUGGAGUGUGGGAAAGGCAGGCGGAAUUCCUGGUGUAGCGGUGAAAUGCGUAGAUAUCAGGAGGAACACCGGCGGUGUAGACGGCUUGCUAGACCAUAACUGACGCUGAGGCACGAAAGCGUGGGUAGCAAACA
rnacentral:rRNA from 1 species